CUUGUCCUUGUGUGUGGAUGGGUUGCUUGGGUUUGGUGACUGCUGCUGGGAGUUCCCCUUCCAGCCUCUUCCUGCACAUUUCACAGUGCCAGCAGAGCCAGCCCAGCAGUGCAGGGUGCCUGCACCAGCACCCUGUGGGGCCACCCAUGUCCAGGCUGCUCUCAGUACCUGUUUCUUGCUGCCUUGGAGCACAGUGGCCUCAGUGAUCCACAUGGAGGGCACACUUCAGCCAGCCUGAAGACAGUGGAAGUGUUGGGACAGAAAUAUCCUACAUCAACUUCUCCAUCAUGGCUCACUGUGACUAAAAAGUCUCUUAUCCACACUCUUAUAUGUCACACCUCUACUACAUCCUCCUCCAGUCUGAAGCAUGGAAGAACACUUCUGUCUCAGAAAUGAGAAUUGCCUGAAAGCUACAACUGCGUGAAUUGGGGAAG